rnacentral:misc_RNA from 1 species
UACGUAGGUGGCAAGCGUUGUCCGGAUUUACUGGGUGUAAAGGGUGCGUAGGCGGGAACGCAAGUCAGGCGUGAAAUCCACCGGCUUAACUGGUGGGCUGCGUUUGAAACUGCGUUUCUUGAGUGGAGUAGAGGUAGGCGGAAUUCCCGGUGUAGCGGUGAAAUGCGUAGAGAUCGGGAGGAACACCAGUGGCGAAGGCGGCCUACUGGGCUUUUACUGACGCUGAGGCACGAAAGCGUGGGUAGCAAACAGG